rnacentral:tRNA from 1 species
GGAAGCGUGGCUCAACGGUAGAGCACGGGGUGUUAAAGCUCCGGGAUUGGGUGGUUCGAGUCCCCCGCCUCCG